rnacentral:rRNA from 1 species
UCCUACGGGAGGCAGCAGUGAGGAAUAUUGGACAAUGGACGAAAGUCUGAUCCAGCCAUGCCGCGUGCAGGAUGACGGCCCUAUGGGUUGUAAACUGCUUUUAUACAGGAAGAAACACUCCCACGUGUGGGGGCUUGACGGUACUGUACGAAUAAGGAUCGGCUAACUCCGUGCCAGCAGCCGCGGUAAUA